CCUACGGGUGGCAGCAGUGAGGAAUAUUGGGCAAUGGCCGAGAGGCUGAACCAGCCAAGUCGCGUGAGGGAAGACGGCCCUACGGGUUGUAAACCUCUUUUGUCGGGGAGCAAAUCGAGUCACGUGUGACUCAUUGAGAGUACCCUAAGAAAAAGCAUCGGCAAACUCCGUGCCAGUAGCCGGGGUAGUACGGAGGAUGCGAGCGGUAUCCGGAUUUAUGGGGUUAAAAGGGUCGGCAGGCGGAGGUGCAAGUAAGAGGUAAAAUUGAGGGGUUAAACCCCGUACUGCGGUUGAUACUGCAUUCCUUGAGUGCGAGAGAGGUAUGCGGAAUGCGUGGUGUAGCGGUGAAAUGCAUAGAUAUCACGAAGAACUCCGAUGGCGAAGGCAGCAUACCGGCGCGCAACUGACGCUCAUGCACGAAAGCGUGGGUAUCGAACAGGAUUAGAUACCCGUGUAGUC
rnacentral:rRNA from 1 species